CUUUCUUUGCUGGCGACCGGCGCACGGGUGAGUAACACGUAUCCAACCUGCCCUUUACUCGGGGAUAGCCUUUCGAAAGAAAGAUUAAUACCCGAUAGCAUAAUGAUUCCGCAUGGUUUCAUUAUUAAAGGAUUCCGGUAAAGGAUGGGGAUGCGUUCCAUUAGGUUGUUGGCGGGGUAACGGCCCACCAAGGCGACGAUGCGUAGCCGACCUGAGAGGGUGACCGGCCACACUGGGACUGAGACACGGCCCAGACUCCUAGGAGGCAGCAUG
rnacentral:rRNA from 1 species